GAUGAACGCUGGCGGCAUGCCUAAUACAUGCAAGUCGAACGAAGUCUUUUGAAAGCUUGCUUUUAAAAGACUUAGUGGCGAACGGGUGAGUAACACGUAGGGAACCUGCCCAUGUACCCGGGAUAACAGAUGGAAACGUCUGCUAAAACCGGAUAGGUAUAGACAAGGCAUCUUGGCUAUAUUAAAGGACCUUCGGGUGUGGACAUGGAUGGACCUGCGGCGUAUUAGCCAGUUGGCGGGGUAACGGCCCACCAAAGCGAUGAUACGUAGCCGGCCUGAGAGGGUAGACGGCCACAUUGGGACUGAGACACGGCCCAAACUCCUACGGGAGGCAGCAGUAGGGAAUUUUCGUCAAUGGGGGAAACCCUGAACGAGCAAUGCCGCGUGAGUGAAGAAGGCCUUCGGGUCGUAAAGCUCUGUUGUAAGAGAAAAACGGUAAUGAUAGGGAAUGAUCAUUAAGUGAUGGUAUCUUACGAGGAAGCCACGGCUAACUACGUGCCAGCAGCCGCGGUAAUACGUAGGUGGCAAGCGUUAUCCGGAAUGAUUGGGCGUAAAGGGUGCGCAGGCGGAACCAUAAGUCUGAAGUAAAAGCCAUCGGCUCAACCGAUGUAAGCUUUGGAAACUGUGGAUCUGGAGUGCAGGAGAGGACAGUGGAAUUCCAUGUGUAGCGGUAAAAUGCGUAGAUAUAUGGAGGAACACCAGUGGCGAAGGCGGCUGUCUGGCCUGUAACUGACGCUGAGGCACGAAAGCGUGGGGAGCAAAUAGGAUUAGAUACCCUAGUAGUCCACGCCGUAAACGAUGAGAACUAAGUGUUGGAGAGAUUCAGUGCUGCAGUUAACGCAAUAAGUUCUCCGCCUGGGGAGUAUGCACGCAAGUGUGAAACUCAAAGGAAUUGACGGGGGCCCGCACAAGCGGUGGAGUAUGUGGUUUAAUUCGAAGCAACGCGAAGAACCUUACCAGGCCUUGACAUGGCGUUAAAUGCCCUAGAGAUAGGGAGAUAGAUAUAAUGCACACAGGUGGUGCAUGGUUGUCGUCAGCUCGUGUCGUGAGAUGUUGGGUUAAGUCCCGCAACGAGCGCAACCCUUGUCGCAUGUUACCAGCAGUAAGAUGGGGACUCAUGCGAGACUGCCGGUGAUAAACCGGAGGAAGGCGGGGAUGACGUCAAAUCAUCAUGCCCCUUAUGGCCUGGGCGACACACGUACUACAAUGGCGACUACAGAGGGAAGCGAGACAGUGAUGUUAAGCGGACCCCAAAAAGGUCGUCCCAGUUCGGAUUGAAGUCUGCAACUCGACUUCAUGAAGCCGGAAUCGCUAGUAAUCGCAGAUCAGCAUGCUGCGGUGAAUACGUUCUCGGGCCUUGUACACACCGCCCGUCAAACCAUGGGAGUCGGUAAUGCCCGAAGCCGGUGGCAUAACCUUUAUAGGAGUGAGCCGUCGAAGGCAGGACUGAUGACUGGGGUUAAGUCGUAACAAGGUAUCCCUACGGGAACGUGGGGAUGGAUCACCUCCUUUCUAAGGAGAAAGAGUGUAGAAGAAAAAAAAGUUUCCUGUUUAGUUUUGAGGGGCCGGAAGGCAACUCAGAGGAUCUUUGAAAACCGAAUAACAGAAAGACAAAAGAGUGUCUUUCCGAAAAGUGUGAAAGAUUUUACGAAAGAAGAGUUAAACAGACUCGAGUUCAUAAGGUAAGCAAAAACACAAAGAAAAUGAUUAAGUAAAUAAGGGCGUACGGUGGAUGCCUUGACACUUGGUGCUGAAGAAGGACGCACCGAACGGCGAAACGCUGCGGGGAGCUGUAAGGAAGCAAAGAUCCGCAGAUAUCCGAAUGGGGAAACCCGGCACAGAGUAAGAACUGUGUCAUCAUCGAUUGUAAUGAUCGAAAGAGAGAAACCCGGCGAACUGAAACAUCUAAGUAGCCGGAGGAAAAGAAAACAAAAGUGAUUCCCUGAGUAGCGGCGAGCGAAAGGGGAGAAGCCCAAACCGAGCUAAGGCUCGGGGUUGAAGGACCGCGAGAUGUGAAAUCCGACUCUAGAAGAACGGCAUGGGAAGGCCGGCCAAAGAAGGUGAGAGCCCUGUAUUUGAAAGAGAAGGAGGAGCUAGCGGAAUCCUGAGUACGACAGGACACGAGGAAUCCGGUCGGAAGCAGGCGGGACCAUCCGUCAAGGCUAAAUACAACCAAGUGAUCGAUAGUGAACA
rnacentral:rRNA from 1 species